CUGAUAUUGCAGGCGGAAGCCUGAGAAAAAUCCAAUCCAGAAGGGACUCUUAUUUAGAAACCUCUGCGUUCCUAUGCGUCACUAUGGAGCAGUGAAUGGGAUAUCAACUAGAAUACUUUUUCUAUGGCUUCCCUAAUGUGUCUAGUGUCACAAGACAUAGUGUCAGGCUUUUAUUUUGAUGGAUCUAAUUUGGAAUAUGUUAUCGGCGUUGUCGUGACCACUUAUGCUAAUUAGUGUCAGUUGAUGACAAUUCUCCGGGAGGGGUAGUUCUAUUAAAGCAUCUUGGCUACAGAGUGCUAUGGGGCGAUAAUCAUUUAGGUAGGAUAAUUUGACAUUCUUGGGCAGAGGGACUAUGUUAGUCUGCUUGAAACUUGUAGGUACUUUAUUACAGACUGGGUCAGGGAGAGGUUGAUAAUGUCAGUGAAAACAUUUGCCAGCUGGUCAGAGCAUGCUCGGAGUACGUGUCCUGGUAAUCUGUUUGGCCCUGCGACCUUGUGAAUGUUAACCUGUUUAAAGGUUUUACUCACGUCGGCUAUGGAGAGCGUGUUCACACAGUCGUCCAGAAACAACUGGUGCUUUCAUGCAUGGUUCCGUGUUGCUAGCCUCAAAGCGAGCAUAGAAGGCAUUGAGCUCGUCUGGUAGGCUCGCGUCACAGGACAGCUCACGACUGGGUUCCCCUUUGUAGUCCAUGAUAGUUUGCAAGCCCUGACACAUUUGACAAGUGUCAGAGCACAUCUGACAAUUCAUGUGUUAGAAAGUGGUAAAGAGGAAUAAAAUGUCCAGGAUUGUUUCUCUGACUUGAGUCAAAGUAUUGUCACACCAAUGUUAAUCCCUAUCUUUCCGAAACAGAAAAGACAACAAGAGGGAAAGAUUAUGAAAGCAGGAUGAACAGAGAUUGGCAAGACCCUCUUUUGUUUGAACAAUUGGCAGUGUAAAAUCUGCUGCAAUGUGAACUGGGUCAGGAGGUCUGAGUGCAACAUGUGUAACACUCCUAAAUUUGUCCAGCAUGAGGAGAGAACAGGAUAUGGUGGAGGGUUCAAUGAGCGGGAGAAUGUGGAGUACAUCGACCGAGAGCAAUCUGAUGGAGAAUAGGACAAGAGGACCUGAGCCCUAGGACAAUGCCUCAGGACUA